CAAUGACUUUAAUAGAGACGUAAAGACUCCGCCGCCGUUCCGGAGCGGAUUCGCAGCCGUUCCGCAUCCGGUGGAAAUUGAGAGACUGAGCAGAGCAGGGAAA